rnacentral:lncRNA from 1 species
GGCAAAUUCACAAUUAUAGUUGAAAAAAUUCAACACUUCUUUCUCAUAGCAACUGAUGAACAAGCAAAAAAAGAAAAAAAUUAAGAAUAUAGAAAACCUAAACUAACAACCCUUAACAAACUUGACCUGAUGUUUCAUAGAACACACCACCCAACAACAGAAUAUAGAACACUCCACCCAACAACGGAAUGUAGAACACGCCGCCCAACAACAGAAGAUAGAACACGCCACCCAACAAGAGAAUACAGAACACGCCACCCAACAAGAGAACAUAGAACACGCCACUCAACAACAGAAUAUAGAACAAUCCACCCAACAACACAAUAUAGAACACUACACCAACAACGGAAUAUAGAACAAUCCACCCAACAAUAGAAUAUAGAACAUGCCACCCAACAACAAGAAUGUAGAACACUCCACCAACAACAGAAUAUAGAACACUACACCAACAACAGAAUAUAGAACAAUCCACCCAACAACAGAAUAUAGAACAAUCCACCCAACAACAGAAUACAGAACACGCCACCCAACAACAGAAUAUAGAACACUGCACCAACAACAGAAUAUAGAACACUGCACCAACAACAGAAUAUAGAACACUACACCAACAACAGAAUAUAGAACACUACACCAACAACGGAAUACAGAACAAUCCACCCAACAACAGAAUAUAG